GAUGAACGCUGGCGGCGUGCUUGAUACAUGCAAGUCGAACGGAGAGUGUAGCAAUAUACUUUUAGUGGCGAACGGGUGAGUAACGCGUUGGUGACCUGCCCCGAAGCGAGGGAUAACAGUUCGAAAGAACUGCUAAUACCUCAUGUGAUCACCGGUUUUAGAAUCUGGUGAUUAAAGGUGAAAAUCACUUCGGGAGGGGCCUGCGUCCCAUCAGCUAGUUGGUAAGGUAAUGGCUUACCAAGGCGAUGACGGGUAGGGGACCUGAGAGGGUGGCCCCCCACAAUGGAACUGAAACACGGUCCAUACACCUACGGGUGGCAGCAGUAGGGAAUAUUGCAAAUGGGCGAAAGCCUGAUGUAGCAACGCCGCGUGUGCGAUGAAGGUCUUCGGAUUGUAAAGCACUUUUUGGAGGGAUGAGGAAGGACAGUACCUCCAGAAUAAGCCUCGGCUAACUACGUGCCAGCAGCCGCGGUAAGCUAGUCUACG
rnacentral:rRNA from 1 species